GGUCUCUAAAGAAAAAUUUCAACAGGUCGCUCCAAAAGUUUCAACUAAAGGUGAAAUAAUAUAAGCCCUAAAAAUUUCCUUCUUUCUCUCAAGCACCAAAAUCCCUAAACACCUAAACCCUACUAAAAUCUCCAAUUGCUCAAGCUGCAGAACCUGUAUUAUCCGGCUAAUGUAUGGCCAGAUUGCAUUUUCAGGAAUACUGAUUGUUGUCAUUUGAGAGCUAAAGGUGGGAGUAUUGAGUUGGAGGGCAAAGAUGGAGCACAACAUUCGAGGGUUUAUUGUGGGGUUUCUUCUGUUGGGUUGCAUUAAAAGAUUCUCUUUUUAAUUGGCCAAAAGAGAAAUAGGGCAAAUGAAGCAGGCUCAAAUUCAAGAAUUGGUGUCGUUCGAAUCGUCUCUUUCUCAAAUAGAGAUUGUAGAAAAAUUCUUUGGACCCCACACUCGUAGCCAGGCAUUUGGGUUUGGGGGUGGAGUAAAGGCGAAGGAUUUGAAAGGUGGGACUUCCUCAAAGACCGAAUUAUUGUCAGAACUCCGUUCAACUCGAGAGGAAAAUCAUUCUUUGAAGGCCUAAUGUAGAAAAUGAGUUGACGAAAUAAGAAAUUUUAUUAGCUCAACACUCAAAUGUCCAGCUUCGACAUCACAUUUACCGAAGAAGAAUUAAUUUUCCAAGUUAGUAGCUGCUCACCCAGAACAUUAAUUUAUUUUCUUGAUUUUGGUGUUGUUCGUAUGUAUUAUUUGGGGAAUUUAUGAUUCUUGUUUAUUGUUGAUUUGCUGGUUGUGUGUUCUUUGGAUUAUUAGUUUUUUGGAUAGAAUGGUGUUUGUUGUUGCUGUUAACUCGAGCUAGAAGUUCAUUUGAGCUAAGAAUUUUGAUUUUUUAAAGAACGUUGUGGUGCUGAAACUGAGUUAAAAAUCCUGCAUUGUUAAAACACAUUUUGGAGGGUUUUUGACAGUUUCAGUUUCUGAACAAGCUUUGUGAUUCCUACAGCUUGGUAAUUCACAGUCAAAUAGUUGUUGUUGACUUCUCGAUUGUUAGCAGCUCUAAUUCUAAGUUAAUGGGAACAGCUGAACUUUCAUUUGUCAUUGAGUUUGGUGCCUAAAUAUGUCCUUAUUUAGGGAUGCAAGAAUGGAGCUUGACAACAGAAUGUGUCAAGUUUUGUAUUUACUACACCUUGUUACCAGUUUUCCCAUGACUUUUUUAUGCGAAAGAGUUAAUCUUGAAAGAAUUAAUAUCUUCUAUCAUCCGAAAACAUCAUCAGAUGCUAUUAUAUGGUUGCAUGCUUGGUUAAGCUGUUAUAUUCCUGUUUUGAGCGUAGGAAUAUAAGCUACUAGUUGUUUGUUUCUAGAUAUACUGAACAUUUGUCGUGAGGUUUUGCUUGCUGGUUUCAUAAUCAUUCAUGCUUUAUCCCGGAACUUGUUUGACAAAUAUAGAUUUUUAGGUCAUAUGAUGGCAUAAUUUCAUCUGUUUGUUUAGUUUUUGUCUGGAUAUUGGCCCUUGCACACUUAGCUUGCAUUCCUUAAAUCUACCUCAAAAACAUCCAAGUAAACUUUUCGCUAGCUUUUCUAGCCGACUAUGAUGUUCAAGUUGAUCAUCUAUGUUAUUUUUCCCUUAAAAAUGUAAGGGAGAAAAGAUUCUUACUUAUAAUCUUCAUUCGUCUUGCUCUUGUAGUCGUUUCCAUUUCCUUUAUGAAUUUCUAUCAAGUUUGUUGUGUUUGGCUUUAUGAUUUUUGUGAUUGAUCAGUUAUUUGUAAGUUCUAGAGUCAAUUGGUCAUAUUAAAAGAGAUUCAAAUACUUCUAGCUCAUCAAAAAGUUACUAGUUUCAAAAAAUAAUAUUUCUAGCUCUUCAUUAGAAUAAUAUGUGCAUGAAAUCUAUUGAUUAAGAAGAGCAUAUAUAUACAUAUGCGUGUGUGUGAUCUAUAUGCUAUAGAGUUUGGUAGUUUUACUAUGAAGAUUCCUACAAAUUUCUUCUGUUUGUUCAAAUGUAAUCGUGUCUUCCACAUGCCAAAGAUUAUAGUUAAUAAAAUUAUCAGGAUAGUUGUAUAUCCACUUUUAAAGGGAGCUAGACAGUAGUUCGGGAUUUUACAUACUUUUGCUUCAACUCUUAC